GCUCGAGUAGCGUAUCCUGGUUAGCGCGCAGGCCUGUGGACACUUGGGUAAGGACCGGGUUCAAAUCCCGGCUCGAGCC
rnacentral:tRNA from 1 species